rnacentral:rRNA from 1 species
GACGAACGCUGGCGGCGUGCCUAAUACAUGCAAGUCGAACGCAGUGGGGACGGGUGAGUAACACGUGGGUAACCUCCCAUCAGAGGGGAUAACACUUGGAAACAGGUGCUAAACCGAUACUGAUGGAUGGACCCGCGGUGCAUUAGCUAGUUGGUGAGGUAAAGGCUCACCAAGGCCACGAUGCAUAGCCGACCUGAGAGGGUGAUCGGCCACACUGGGACUGAGACACGGCCCAGACUCCUACGGGAGGCAGCAGUGGGGAAUAUUGGGCAAUGGAGGAAAGUCUGACCGAGCAAUGCCGCGUGAGUGAAGAAGGUCUUCGGGUCGUAAAACUCUGUUGGUAGAGAAGCGGUAUCUAAACAGAAAGCAACGGCUAACUACGUGCCAGCAGCCGCGGUAAUUC